rnacentral:miRNA from 1 species
UCACCGGGUAUCUUGCAGCGGG